rnacentral:rRNA from 1 species
AUUGAACGCUGGCGGCAGGCCUAACACAUGCAAGUCGAGCGGAGGAAGGGAGCUUGCUCCUGGAUUCAGCGGCGGACGGGUGAGUAAUGCCUAGGAAUCUGCCUGGUAGUGGGGGAUAACGUCCGGAAACGGGCGCUAAUACCGCAUACGUCCUGAGGGAGAAAGUGGGGGAUCUUCGGACCUCACGCUAUCAGAUGAGCCUAGGUCGGAUUAGCUAGUUGGUGGGGUAAAGGCCUACCAAGGCGACGAUCCGUAACUGGUCUGAGAGGAUGAUCAGUCACACUGGAACUGAGACACGGUCCGGACUCCUACGGGAGGCAGCAGUGGGGAAUAUUGGACAAUGGGCGAAAGCCUGAUCCAGCCAUGCCGCGUGCGUGAAGAAGGUCUUCGGAUUGUAAAGCACUUUAAGUUGGGAGGAAGGGCAGUAAGUUAAUACCUUGCUGUUUUGACGUUACCAACAGAAUAAGCACCGGCUAACUUCGUG